GUGGUUCCUUGGGCUGAAAUGGUGGCUUGGCCAUGCAAGCCAUAAAUUGAGACUCUUUCAAUGUGAUUGAAAGGUGGUUCCAUGGGCUGAAAUGGUGGCUUGGCCAUGCAAGCCAUGCAAGGCGAGGUGUCGAAGGCCUCGCUCACAUCAGAUAGGUCUGCAGAAGGCACCGUAUGCACCACAUGAUGAUGAGGUGCCAAAUGAUGGCGGGGUGCCGAAGGGAACGCGCCGAAUGAUGGAGGGAUGCCGAAUGAUGAAGCUUGUAGAACAAGCUCAAGUCCCCCUAUUUUUACUCUUCAAAGAGGUGUCGAACGACACUUUGAAUUGAGAUGUUGGUAUCGCUAUGCAAGCCGUGCAAAAUGAUAGCCACGUUCUGAUUGGCUUUUCCUUGAAAUAUCAUCUUCUGCAAUUUGUUGCCUUAGCAUUCAUUGUUGCUCCAGUAAGAUAUUGCCGAACGGCAACUUAGGUGAUGUUGAUUGUGUGGGUGCCGAGGGGCAUUGAAGAAGGGGAGAACCACAGAAGCCUUUUGUGUCGAUUCCCACAGACGGCGCCAAACUGUAGGCCCCUAUGAACAAAACAACAUAGCCCCAAGCUCUCACCUUGAACAAAUCUCGGGCCUACAGAAAUUUUUUAGCCACCCUUGCCGUUCGGCAGGGGUUGAACAGAACCUAGUGAAGGACCCGAUCCUCCCCUCCUUCGAACAAGCUUGAUCCCCUCCCGCUCCUUGCCGAAGACAGAUUUUCGCCAGCUCUCUUUUUGCCAAACAACAAUGUCGUUCACACGAGGGGCCUCCUCCAACUGCCGAAACUUUCUUCCAAAAGACUUACUGCACGGCAUGUUCUAAAAAAAAGAAGGAAAAACCCUAGCUUUUCUCUCCCAUUUUUGAACCCUUCCCAAAGGCCUAGCUAUGGCUUAAGUACUUCCAAGGCCCAGCUCCAGUAGCCAGCUCCAGGUACUUUCCAACUUACCCUCGCAGCCCAGCCCCCAUGCUAUUACUCAAGCCCAACUAUGGCUCAGCCAAACCCGUAUUAUUCAAGAGUCAAAACGGCUAGCCCCAGCCUGCCGAAGGUCUAGCUUCCUACCUUUCCAAAAAAAAAAAACAAAAAAAACAAAAAAAGGGGCUAGGACCUUGCCGAACGGCAAGGACCAUGGAAGGAGAAGAGAGCCCCCAAAUUUUUCAAAAGCCCCAGCCUGCCGAAGGUCUAGCUUCCGAGCUUUCAAAAAAAAAAAAAGAAAAAAAAAAGAAAAAAGAGGACUCACUCACCCAAUCCUUCCCUUGCCGAAGCUUAGCCCCUAAAACCCACGGACCCAAUACCCCAUCAUCCACCAUUCCACCUCUAUCUAAGUUGACCUCCCGAAAAGAGCAUCAACAUACACCAUUGUCAUUAUGUUUCAACAUCUUGUUAUUAAUCUAUAAGCCUAAUAUGUUUUUUUCCUUUAUAAAAUUAGUCUAACUUUUAAUCACUUACAAGUCAUC
rnacentral:lncRNA from 1 species